UACGAAGGGUGCUAGCGUUGUUCGGAAUUACUGGGCGUAAAGCGCGCGUAGGCGGCUUCUCAAGUCAGGGGUGAAAUCCUGGGGCUCAACCCCAGAAUUGCCUUUGAAACUGUGAAGCUGGAGUGUCGGAGGGGAUAGCGGAAUUCCUAAUGUAGAGGUGAAAUUCGUAGAUAUUAGGAGGAACACCGGUGGCGAAGGCGGCUAUCUGGACGACAACUGACGCUGAGGCGCGAAAGCGUGGGGAUCAAACAGG
rnacentral:rRNA from 1 species